UCGCGGGCGGAGGGCGGGGGGUCGGCCUUGUUUCUGCCUGGCUCGGGGCUGCACGGCGGGCUCUCCUUGUCCCUCCAAGGCCUCUUCGCUCAUCCUAAGCCUAGUGACUGAACACCCCGGGCAGCUGGGUUUCAGCGGCGCCCCUCGGGGGUGGCCACGCCCAGGCUCCAGAAAAUGUGAGCACGAAAGCUGGGAACGUGACCCUCCGCUGGGCGCUGGGCGACGGGCAGCGCCAACCUCUUCAGUAUUUGGAGCUGCCCUGCCCGUUAGCUCGUCCUAUGCUCGCGUGCCCACGACUGAAGGGCGAACAGGCAGCCGGGAAGGUUUAAGGGAAGACCCGGAAGGCAUGUGGAAUGGGGAGAACCAAGAAAGAAGCAAUAUCCCACCUGUGGGCCGGCCAGUGUGCAGACCAGAGAGGACCAGGAAGGAAGCUCAGCCCCCACCUGUGGGCCAGCUGGAGUGCGGAAUGAGGAGAAACAGGAUGGAAGAAAUAUGCCUGCCUGUGAGCCAACUGGAACAUGGGCCGGGGAGAAUCAGGAAAGCAGCUAUGCUCUCACCUCUGAGCUAGCCAGCAGGAGGACCACAAAGAAUCAGGAAGGAAGCUCAGCCCCCACCAGUGAGCCAGUUGGCAUAUGGACCCGGGAGAGAUGAAUAGCUACCCUGAUCCCCUCUAAGCAGCCAGCUGUUUUAGAGGAACUGUAUCAUUUGACCCGACUUUGCAAACCUAAAGCCAGUAGUCUGAGCAAGUACUUAGAGGAUAACAGUGUGCAACAUAGUAACUAUUAUAGAUUUCCUACUGUCUUAUCACUGUUUCAUUACAUUUCAUUGUUCUGUUUUAUUCCCUUUAAAAUAAAAAUUUUUAAAAAGAUU
rnacentral:lncRNA from 1 species